CAGUAGCCGCGGUAAUACGUAGGUGGCAAGCGUUGUCCGGAAUUAUUGGGCGUAAAGCGUGCGCAGGCGGUUGUGUAAGACAGGUGUGAAAUCCCCGGGCCUAACCUGGGAACUGCGCUUGUGACUGCACAGCUAGAGUAUGGCAGAGGGGGGUGGAAUUCCACGUGUAGCAGUGAAAUGCGUAGAGAUGUGGAGGAACACCGAUGGCGAAGGCAGCCCCCUGGGCCAAUACUGACGCUCAUGCACGAAAGCGUGGGGAGCAAACAGGAUUAGAUACCCCUGUAGUCCCUGUCUCUUAUAC
rnacentral:rRNA from 1 species